AUGCGUCAAGUACAGGAGCUGCUCGACAAAGGUUAUAUACGUGAAUCUCUUAGUCCUUGUGUUGUUCCUAUUAUACUAGUGCCUAAAAAGGAUGGUACGUCGCGUAUGUGUGUUGAUUGUAGAGGCAUUAAUAAUAUUACUAUUCGUUAUCGUCAUCCUAUUCCUAGGCUAGAUGAUAUGCUUGAUGAAUUGAGUGGCUCUACAAUAUUCUCCAAAGUUGAUUUGCGUAGUGGAUACCAUCAAAUUCGUAUGAAAUUGGGAGAUGAAUGGAAAACUGCAUUUAAAACUAAGUUUGGUUUAUAUGAGUGGUUAGUCAUGCCUUUUGGGUUAACUAAUGCACCUAGUACUUUCAUGAGACUAAUGAACGAAGUUUUACGUGCUUUCAUUGGACGAUUUGUGGUAGUCUAUUUUGAUGAUAUACUGAUUUAUAGCAAAUCUUUGGAAGAACAUUUGGAACAUUUACGUGCUGUUUUUAUUGCUCUACGUGAUGCACGUUUGUUUGGUAACCUUGGGAAGUGCACCUUUUGCACCGACCGAGUAUCUUUUCUUGGCUAUGUUGUUACUCCACAGGGAAUUGAAGUUGAUAAAGCCAAGAUUGAUGCUAUUGAGAGUUGGCCGCAGCCCAAAACGGUCACACAAGCGCGGAGUUUUCUUGGACUCGCUGGUUUCUAUAGGCGUUUUGUGAGAGAUUUUAGCACCAUUGCUGCACCUCUCAACGAGCUUACAAAGAAGGAUGUGCCUUUUGUUUGGGGUACCGCACAGGAAGAAGCCUUCACAGUAUUGAAAGAUAAGUUGACACAUGCUCCUUUACUCCAACUUCCUGAUUUUAAUAAGACUUUUGAGCUUGAAUGUGAUGCUAGUGGCAUUGGAUUAGGAGGUGUGUUAUUACAAGAUGGCAAACCUGUUGCAUACUUUUCUGAAAAAUUGAGUGGGCCUAGUCUGAAUUAUUCUACUUAUGAUAAAGAACUAUAUGCUCUUGUUCGGACUUUAGAAACAUGGCAACAUUAUUUAUGGCCCAAAGAAUUUGUUAUACAUUCUGAUCAUGAAUCUUUGAAACAUAUUAAAAGUCAAGCUAAACUGAAUCGUAGACAUGCUAAAUGGGUUGAAUUCAUUGAAACUUUCCCUUAUGUCAUUAAACACAAGAAGGGUAAAGAAAAUGUUAUUGCUGAUGCAUUGUCUCGUCGCUAUACUAUGCUUUCACAACUUGACUUCAAAAUAUUUGGUUUGGAGACCAUCAAAGAUCAAUAUGUGCAUGAUGCUGAUUUUAAAGAUGUAUUGCGGAAUUGUAAAGAAGGAAGAACCUGGAACAAGUUUGUCGUUAAUGAUGGAUUUGUGUUCCGUGCUAACAAGCUAUGCAUUCCAGCUAGCUCUCUUCGUCUUUUGUUGUUGCAGGAGGCGCAUGGAGGAGGAUUAAUGGGACACUUUGGCGUGAAGAAGACAGAGGACGUACUUGCUACACAUUUCUUUUGGCCAAAGAUGAGACGGGAUGUUGAGCGUUUUGUUGCUCGCUGCACUACAUGUCAAAAAGCUAAGUCACGACUCAAUCCUCAUGGUUUAUAUAUGCCUUUGCCUGUACCUAGUGUUCCUUGGGAGGAUAUAUCUAUGGACUUUGUUUUAGGUUUACCUCGAACAAAGAAGGGGAGGGAUAGCAUAUUUGUUAUCGUGGAUAGAUUCUCGAAAAUGGCACACUUUAUACCAUGUCAUAAAAGCGAUGAUGCUGUUAAUGUUGCUGAUUUGUUCUUUCGUGAAAUUAUUCGCUUGCAUGGUGUGCCAAAUACUAUUGUUUCCGAUCGUGAUACUAAAUUUCUUAGCCACUUUUGGAGAUGUUUAUGGGCUAAGUUGGGGACUAAACUGCUUUUUAGUACUACUUGUCACCCCCAAACUGAUGGACAAACUGAAGUAGUCAAUAGAACAUUGUCUACUAUGCUUAGGGCUGUUUUGAAGAAUAAUAAGAAAAUGUGGGAAGAAUGCUUGCCUCAUAUUGAGUUUGCUUAUAAUCGUUCAUUGCAUUCUACUACUAAGAUGUGUCCUUUUGAAAUUGUGUAUGGUUUCCUACCUCGUGCACCUAUUGAUUUGUUGCCUCUUCCAUCUUCGGAGAAGGUUAAUUUUGAUGCUAAACAACGUGCUGAAUUGAUCUUAAAAAUGCAUGAGUUAACUAAGGAAAACAUUGAGCGUAUGAAUGCUAAAUAUAAACUUGCUGGAGAUAAGGGUAGAAAACAUGUUGUGUUUGCACCUGGAGAUCUUGUUUGGUUACAUUUGCGUAAGGAUAGAUUUCCUGAUUUGCGCAAAUCAAAGCUAAUGCCACGUGCUGAUGGUCCUUUUAAGGUGUUAGAGAAAAUAAAUGAUAAUGCAUAUAAACUUGAACUGCCUGCAGAUUUUGGGGUGUAUGGGACAUUUGUACAAUCCACAUAUGAAGAUAAGGCAAAAGGAGAAGUUUAG
rnacentral:rRNA from 1 species